rnacentral:rRNA from 1 species
CACGUAGGGGCCAAGCGUUGUCCGGAUUUAUUGGGCGUAAAGAGCUCGUAGGCGGUUCGACAAGUCGGGUGUGAAAACUCCGGGCUCAACCCGGAGACGCCACCCGAUACUGUCGUGACUGGAGUCCGGUAGGGGAGUGGGGAAUUCCUGGUGUAGCGGUGAAAUGCGCAGAUAUCAGGAGGAACACCAAUUGCGAAGGCAGCUCGCUGGGACGUUACUGACGCUGAGACGCGAAAGCGUGGGGAGCAAACAGG